rnacentral:misc_RNA from 1 species
GAUGAAGAACGCAGCGAAAUGCGAUAAGUAGUGUGAAUUGCAGAAUUCAGUGAAUCAUCGAAUCUUUGAACGCACAUUGCGCCCGCCAGUAUUCUGGCGGGCAUGCCUGUCCGAGCGUCAUUUCAACCCUCGAACCCCUCCGGGGGUCCGGCGUUGGGGAUCGGCCCUUUACCGGCCGGCCCCGAAAUGCAGUGGCGGUCCCGCCGCAGCCUCUCCUGCGCAGUAGUUUGCACACUCGCACCGGGAGCGCGGCGCGUCCACGUCCGUAAAACACCCAACUUCUGAAAUGUUGACCUCGGAUCAGGUAGGAAUACCCGCUGAACUUAAGCAUAUCAAUAAGCGGAGGA